CGGUAAUUCCAGCUCCAAUAGCGUAUACUAAAGUUGUUGCAGUUAAAAAGCUCGUAGUUGGAUUUCUGCGGGGACGGAGCGGCCGGACGCAACUUGCGUCUCGAGCUAGCGCUUUCCCCGCAUCCUGCCGCGAACCGUGCUACCAUUAGUUUGGUGGCGCCGGGGAUCGGCUCGAUUACUUUGAGAAAAAUAGAGUGUUCAAAGCAGGCCACACGCCUUGAAUAAGUUAGCAUGGAAUAAUGACUAAGGACUUUGGUUCUUUUCGUUGGUGUUCGGGACUGAAGUAAUGAUUGAUAGGGACAGUUGGGGCGGGCCGCAUUCCAAAGCGAGAGGUGAAAUUCUUAUACCUUCGGAAGACGAACAGCUGCGAAAGCGUUCCGCAUGGAUGUUCCCUUUGAUCAAGAACGAAGAGUUGGCGGGAUCGAAGACGAUCAGAUACCGUCGUACUCUCAACUAUAAACUAUACCAGCUAGGGAUCGGCCAACGUUUAACUUUAUCGACUUGGUCGGCACCUUAUGAGAAAUCAAAGCAUCUGGGUUCCGGGGGGAGUAUGGUCGCAAGGCUGAAACUUAAAGGAAUUGACGGAAGGGCACCACCAGCCGUGGAUCCUGUGGCUUAAUUUGACUCAACACAGGAAAACUUAUCAGGUCCUGGCAUAGGAAGGAAUGACAGAAUGUUAGUUCUUUCUCGAUUCUGUGGGUGGUGGGGCAUGGCCGUUUCUAGUCGGUGGAUGUGAUCUGUCAGUUUAAUUGCGUUAACGGACGAGACCCCAGCAUACUAAAUAGCGCGGCCGAGCUCUGCUCGUUGCUAGUUUCUUAGAGGGGACACGAUGCGCGAUAACACAAUGAAGUUCGGGGCCACAUCAGGUAUGUGAUGACCUUAUAUGGUCCGCUCCGCACUCGGGCUACACCGGGCCACGCACAGAUCAUAUCAGCUGACACGAUAGGGUCUUGUCUAAUGUUAGGAACCGGCGCCGGGCUUGGGACUGACCAAUGCAAUGGCCGGUC
rnacentral:rRNA from 1 species